UCAAAAUCAUUUAUCCAUAUUGGAAGUAAGAGACUGUAAGUUUUGAAUGCCUAUAUCUCCUAAAUGCAAAUAUUGUUAAUGAUUUGGA